AGGUGGACUGUUCUCUGGCCUCCUUGAGGAACUGAGCUGGGGUGGGGCCCUUGAAGGGUGGAGAGUUUUGGGCUCCCACUCCUGGGCACAGAUGCCCGCAGCUCCUUUCGAGGGAGGGGCUGCGGGCUCCUUAGAGCCAUUAGUUUCCAAUCCCUGUUUGAGAAACACUGCCCCAUCCAUGCCCUGAACCCUGGGUAGAUUGCCCCAAGUAUGGCCAGGCAGCCUGUCCCUCCCCUUGCAGAGGAAAGGGCACAGGAGCCCUGACUGGCUGCCCCUAAUGCCUCCUCUCCUGAAAACGUCAGUGGGGCCAGGGCUUCUCAAUGGACAGGAUUUCUCCUACUGCCAACUGGAGGAAUCCAGUGGGCCUGCCAUUGCCACCCAGAAGCUUUGGUGGCAAAUUGGAUGACUGUCCUACGAGCCUGUUGUACUAACUCACUGGGCCCACUUUCCCCUCCCAGGGGUUCCACUCUGCCUGCCCCUCAUGUUGUCUCCCAAGGGCCUUACUGUUUACACUCAGUAUAUAGCUUCUUGUACCUGUACCCAUCACUUCUUGCUGGGAUCUGGAACCAUCAAAUGGGGAGAGCUUUGUCAUUUUUAGACAUAUUUAUUGGUCAGAGGACUUCUAUUUUGUCCAGACUGUGCAAACUGUCCUCUUUAGCUUACAGCCUAUAAAGAACUAUUUUUUGUUUUUCUAAAAUCCUUCAAGUACUAAAGGCCCACCACAGGAUAGAUUGGAUCUGUGUUCAUCUUUCUAGUUUUAACCUGUCUUUUUAAUUGAUGGCUGCUGUCCUUUGGGACUUUGAGUAUAAGCAGAAGAUUUGGGCAUUUCAUUGGCUUUUAAAACUCAUAUGAUUAGUCUUGGAAACCAAGCAGUGAUUAUAAGCACAAAGUUUCACUCUUUCAGUCCCUGCAGAUGUAUCUAUGAUGCUCUGAGAGUCUCAGGGUAGCCAUCAGUUAAGUGGGUGAAACAUUACAUGGAAAAAUAUACAAGCCUAAGUAGGCAAGUGUAUAUAGUGAGUGAGAGAACACCUACCUAAUAAUACCAUGGUUAUUAGCUUUGAAUAAAAUGUCCAGCACUUGUCAUAGUCCCAAGAGACUGCAGGCCAUUCAGUCUUCAGCUGGAUAAUACCAACCACAUACAUCCAACCAGCAUGGGAAUGAUGACUGUAGCCCAGUGGACCCUUGGAAGGAGAGCUGGCUAAAUAAUACCCUGGGGUGUCUGGAGUGGAGGUGUUCUGAAACUGGAAAGGCUAGCUGCUAGGGCCAACGUGGACCAGUAUUUUGAGCCAAAAGCUUUCACCCUGAACUAGGGAAGUCUGUUUGAAAGAUCACCACAAUUUCAGCCCCAGUAGUCUUCUCACUGUGGGGGCCAUCUGUCAAAGCAAAGGUCAGUGAGGAGGCAGACCCUAGUGUCAGAGGAUUGCACACUGGGUUCAGCAGCAGGGGAGGGUGUCUGAGAGGGUUCCUACAUGCCAGGGCAGUUAAGCCACAGGUGGUCAGCAGUUGGGAUGGAGGAGGGGCCCUUAUGAGGGUUCUAGGGGGGCCUUCCCUGUUCUGGAUAACAGGGCUGCUCCCUGCUUCCUGAAAUAUUCCUCUCCCUGCCUGAGCCAUGCCCCUGGGAUCUUCUGGUCCCCUGACCACAUUCUGUCUCUCUGUCUCUUGCCUCUCUAUGCCUCUAAGUGUCCCCAGGGUUUUCUUUCUUAUCUCAACUUGCCAUACAAUCUCAUCCACUCCAAAAUCAUCUCAAUGACUGCUUGUACAUAAAUGGCUCCCAAGGGUCCGGCUCUAGCUCCAAAUGUGUGUUUUCACCCUCCCCUGCAUGAUCCCCAGACACCCCAAAUACAAGCCCACUGGUCUCCUGCAGAGCCACAUCCUCUACUCCAUGCAGGCAUGACAGGGCCACUGGUGCUGAGGCUUCAGGGCCCUGGAGGCCCUGAGCCUACCCACCCUCUCCACUCCCCAUCAUCUUCCCAAGACCUCCUUCCAAGACCCCCAGCUCAGAAUUAAGCUCUGAGCCAUCCUCAGCCUCUCUAGUAGCUCCCACUAAGGGCCAUCCUGGCAUAGUCCACUGACAGAAUCCAUAGCUUCACCCCCACGGGGAAGUGGGCUGUCUGUCCCAGGGCUGCUCAGGGCUAGGUGUGAGUAUUCUUAAACUCUGGAUCAAUGGAGUUGGCCCAUUGACCCAUUCCUGGGAGACCAGCCCAGGACCCACGUGAUGGCUGGCUAACAUCACCAUCUUUGCAUGACCUUCCCCCAACCUGGUCCCACCAGUCCCCAAGGGGCUAGAGCCUGUAUCCUUCCUUAGCCCAGAGAGCCAGCUGCACCCUGGACUUCUGCAGAAACAUCUGCUCCACGCACCCUGCAGCCCAUCUACCGCUCCCACCCAGAGCCUCACCUUCCCCUGCCGGCACCACCACAGUCACCAAUGCAAGUCAGUCCCUUAGUCUCUCCUGCUCCUGGUGCUGACAUGUCCUGGGGAAAGGUUGGGGACCUCAAUGACCUGUCACACCCCCAACUCCUCAAAGCCCUCCUGACCCUGUUUCUGUUCCCAUCCUGUCAUACCCCCAGGGGGUUACAUGUUCACUGUCCACUUGGAAAGGAAUUUCCUUUUUUUUUCUUAUGGUUCCAGUGAAGCACAAAACCAGAUGCUUGUAAAGGCUAAACCAGUCCCGCAGCCUCUCAGCUCAGAAUAGCUCUCUGGGGGGCCCGGUGGACCAGGUGGUGCUGGGGGUGGGCCUUUGGGGAAGGGGAGCUGCAAGGGCCAGCCCAGGAGGUCUGGCAGGUCUGGCCUGGCGUUCAUUCCCUUCCCUUCCCCCAACCAGCCCUUGGUGGGAGCAGGGAAACAAAAAGAAUGCUGCAUAGGACCCAGGCCUCAAAUUGCCUUGUCUGGAGAAGAAUGAAGCAGGAAUUGCUGGGUGAAUUUGGAAUCAAGAAGAAAUCCAGGGAGUUCCCGUUGUGGAUCAGCGGAAGUGAAUCUGACUAGCAUUCAUGAGGAUGCAGGUUCAAUCCCUGAUCUCGCUCAGUGAGUUAAGGAUCUGGCAUUGCCAUGAGCUGUGGUGUAAGUGGCAGAUGCAGCUCAGAUCCCGUGUUGCUGUGGCUAUGGCGUAGGCCAGCAGCAACAGCUCUGAUUCAACCCCUAGCCUGGGAACCUCCAUAUGCCAUGGGUGGGGUCCUAAAAAGACAAAAAAAUAAAAGAAGGAGAAGAAAUCCAGGAACUGGGGCCACAACAGGCUGAGCCUUUAGAGUCAUGAGCUGGAGGGAAGGAAGCCCUGGAGGAGGACCUCACCCAUGACAUUCGUGGACAGGAGUUUGCCUGUCCAGGAGUUUGCCAUUCAUGUGACUCCACCAUGCUGUUUACAGCCACCUUUUUCUCUUCUGCCAGAAACCACAGGCGUCUCAGCCCCCAUUCCUGAGACAAGAUUGAAGGCCACAUCUCUAGCGGGCUGGAUCAGUUAAAAAUACAGCUACAAGUCAUAAGGAAGCUGAUCAAUAGCAGCUUAAACAUUGGUCAUUAUUUUUCUCACUUGACAAGUGGUAAAGCAGAUAGUUCCUGGCAUUGUCAGUCACACACCUAAGCUCUUUCUAUCUUUGCUUCACAAUCUCUGAUGGGUUGGUUUUUACCUUCUUUGUUGUGUCACUGUGAUCAAUGGCACCACAACUCACAUUCAUAUUCAAGGCAGAGAAAAAAAGGAGAAGGGUCUGCUUCCUUUUAUCAAGAUAAUAAAAUUUGCCCCAAACCACUCUUUCCCAGCACAUUUCCACUUAGGUCGUUUAAGGGCCAGAACUGUGUGCCAUGACCACCCUGGAGGGGAAACUGGUAAAAUAAUUAGGAUGCAGUGAUUGGCUUAGAGCAGAAGUCUGGAACGUGGGCCAAAUUUAGCCCACCACCUGACUUUUUGGGGAAUAUUUCAUGGAGUUCUCUGGUGGCCUAACGGUUAGGGAUUCAGCAUUGUCACUGCUGUGGCUUGGGUUCAAUCCCUGACCCGAGUACUUCCACAUAUCGUGGGUGAAGCCAAAAAGAGAGAUAGACACUAUUUCAUGACGGAUAUAAGAAAGUUACCUCUUGACCCACAAAGCCUAAUUUUUUUUUUUAAUUGUUGAAAAACGUUGUUGACCCUGCUUUAGGGCAACAGGGAUCAUUGCCUCCCAUUGGGCACACUGCUUUCCUGCACAAAAUCAGGACUCUGGUAAGCAGGAGGAAGCAAUGGUUUACCCAUUGGGCAGGCAGCUCAGUGUCACGUAGGCCAAUCACCACAUUGCAAGCCGGGGUUAGCUCUCUGAUCUGCAAGAGUGUAAGCCAAGAGUUUCCCCUGGAACUAAAAGUUCCCCUGGAGAGUUUCACCAGAAACCUAACGCAAAGAGGUUUUUCAGGAAGCCCUCUACCUCAACGACAUUUUCUCAAAGUGACCAAAUGUGUGGGAUUUGAAAGAAGACUGGUUAAAAAAAAAAAGUGGGACACCACAAAAGCUGUGCCCCCAAAAGGCUUGAUGGGGUUUGAUUUGCUCAAUGAACUUAUGCCCAGGCAAGCGGCUAGUCCUCAGGAUUAUAGGUCUAGAAAAUGGAGCUGGUCAGAGUUCCACAGUUACCAGUCUCACCUAAGCACCUAAGGUGACACAGAUAGCCUACCUCACUAGGAUGUGAAGUUCACAAGCCCAAAACCAACGUGCUCAUUUUUAAUGGGAACUAUAACUCACCACAAAAGCCAACAUCAUCAUGAUGAUAAACGAACAUGACAGGAAGCCAGGCUGUGUUCUGAAAGCCAUUUAGUGAGUUCAGAGGCAAAGCCAGGAAGUUAAAGGGAAAGGUCACUUAUUUAGUGCACCAACCAUGGGGGUCAGUCCCCAGGCCAGGGUUCCACCUCCCAGUGCAUUCUGCCUGUUUCCAUCAUACAUCCCUCUCCAUCCUCCCAUUUCAUGCUUCACUCCCAGUCUUUUGUCUUACUCUCUGCAUUUAAGUUCACUUUGUCUCUAAUUUCAUUUAUCAUGGGUCCAUUUCAGACUGGAAACCUCAGAGGCCAGUCCUCCAAACUCUUAGGGAAUAUCUCAUAGUCACCCUAGUAGGCAAGCCUACAAGAGCCAGAUACCUGGGCCUCUUACAGAUUGGGCAGUUGGUGUUCCUCCAACCCCAGGUAUGAACUGCACCUGCUCAGAUGGGGCCCAGGUGACCUCUGAUAUUUCAACCAGCCAGUACCCUUCAACCGAUAACAAAUGGCCGGGCGAUGGUCACUGACCAAUGCAUGCAUUUUAUAUUUACUGAGUACGUACUUUGUGCCCAGUAGGUGGGGAUACAUUCAUGGAAAAUAAAAAUGUGUAGCC
rnacentral:lncRNA from 1 species